GACGUAGGGCGCGAGCGUUGUCCGGAUUUAUUGGGCGUAAAGGGCUCGUAGGUGGCCAACUAAGUCAGACGUGAAAUCCCUCGGCUUAACCGGGGAACUGCGUCUGAUACUGGAUGGCUUGAGUCCGGGAGAGGUGAGUGGAACUGCGAGUGUAGAGGUGAAAUUCGUAGAUAUUCGCAAGAACACCAGUGGCGAAGGCGGCUCACUGGCCCGGUACUGACGCUGAGGUGCGAAAGCGUGGGGAGCAAACAGG
rnacentral:rRNA from 1 species